UGCAUCGAUGAAGAACGCAGCGAAAUGCGAUAACUAGUGUGAAUUGCAGAAUUCCGUGAAUCAUCGAGUCUUUGAACGCACAUUGCGCCCCCUGGUAUUCCGGGGGGCAUGCCUGUCCGAGCGUCAUUGCUGCCCAUCAAGCACGGCUUGUGUGUUGGGUCGUCGUCCCCUCUUCGGGGGGGACGGGCCCCAAAGGCAGCGGCGGCACCGCGUCCGAUCCUCGAGCGUAUGGGGCUUUGUCACCCGCUCUGUAGGCCCGGCCGGCGCUUGCCGAACGCAAAACAACCAUUCUUUCCAGGUUGACCUCGGAUCAGGUAGGGAUACCCGCUGAACUUAAGCAUAUCAAUAAGCGGAGGAA
rnacentral:misc_RNA from 1 species